rnacentral:rRNA from 1 species
AACGAACGCUGGCGGCAUGCCUAACACAUGCAAGUCGAACGGGACCUUCGGGUCUAGUGGCGCACGGGUGCGUAACGCGUGGGAAUCUGCCCAAAGGUUCGGAAUAACUCGGGGAAACCCGAGCUAAUACCGGAUGAUGUCUUCGGACCAAAGAUUUAUCGCCUUUGGAUGAGCCCGCGUCGGAUUAGCUUGUUGGUGAGGUAAAAGCUCACCAAGGCGACGAUCCGUAGCUGGUCUGAGAGGAUGAUCAGCCACACUGGGACUGAGACACGGCCCAGACUCCUACGGGAGGCAGCAGUGGGGAAUAUUGGACAAUGGGCGCAAGCCUGAUCCAGCAAUGCCGCGUGAGUGAUGAAGGCCUUAGGGUUGUAAAGCUCUUUUACCCGGGAUGAUAAUGACAGUACCGGAGAAUAAGCCCCGGCUAACUCGUGCCAGCAGCCGCGGUAAUACGGAGGGGCUAGCGUUGUUCGGAAUUACUGGCGUAAAGCGCACGUAGGCGGCGUUUG